UCCAAUAGUUAAUCCAAAAAAAAAAAAAACACACACACACACACCAAAAACAAAAACCCUGAAUCUCGCCUACCCAUCCUUAAGAGGGCGACUUCACCUCCUCUUCAACAGACGUGGCAGCACAAAAAAAGACAGAGCCAUGCCACCAGCUGUCAAGGGUGUAAACAGCGCCAUUUCUGCUACCAUCCCAGACAGUCUCCAGCGCUGAAGGAACUGGGCGGAAGGAACUGGGCAUCGAACCACCCCGAGCGGCAAGCGGUGUUCAUUUCUGGAGCAGAUGCUAGUGAUCUGGGCCACCCGAAGCGUGCGUGCAGGAGAGACAGCGGUCACCUGUACCGCACCAACGGGAGUCAGUACCAAGACACAAAAUGCAACCUGUCACAGCGAGGAGCAAGGCUGGCAGCAGAACGAUGUCUGCAGCAGCGAAGUCCCAGAGUGCGCCGCGCGCCGCCAGGUACAAAGGAACAGUCGACAUUGCUGAAAGACAUCAUGGCCUUUCCAGCAGCCUCGAUCAGUAUUUCUCACGUUUCCACGUGUGAACAGAGCACCUAGGGAUCUCAGGAAAACGCACACUCUGACUCAGCCAUUGUGAGGUGAGGUCUGAGAUGGUGCCUUCCCCGCAAGCUCCUGGUGGGGCCGGAUGCCGGGUCCUCGGAGGCGCACGGUUCCAGAGAGCUCAUUACUAUCAAAACGGGUAAAAAUGGUCCAUUGGGCCUUUUGAUGAAGAUGGCACCGAAAGCGAAGAAGGAAGCCCCUGCCCCUCUCAAAGCCGAAGCCAAAGCAAAGGCUUUGAAGGCAAAGAGAGCCGUGCUGAAAGGCGUCCACAGCCACACAAAAAAGAUCUGCAUGUCACCCACCUUCCGAGGCCAAAGACUCUAAGGCUCCAAAGGCAACCAAAUAUCCCCGGAAGAGCGCACCCGGGAAACAAGCCUGCCCACUGUGCCAUCAUCACAUCCCCCCUGACCACUGCGUCCACCAUGGAGAAGAGAGAAGACAAUCAUACACGUGUGUUCCCUGUGGAUGUCAAGGCCAAUGAGCUCCAGAGCCAACAGGCUGUGAGGAAGCUCUAUGACAUUGAGGUGGCCAAGGUCAGCACCCUGAUCGGGCCUGAUGGCGAGAAGAAGGCAUAUGUUUGACUGGCUCCUGGCUAAGAUGCUUUGGAUGUUGCCAACAAAAUUG